GACGAACGCUGGCGGCGUGCCUAAUACAUGCAAGUCGAACGCAGUGGGGACUGGUGAUUCACACGUGGGUAACCUCCCAUCAGAGGGGAUAAGACUUGGAAACAGGUGCUCAAGCGAUACUGCUGGAUGGACCCGCGGUGCAUUAGCUAGUUGGGGAGGUAACGGCUGACCAAGGCGACGAUGCGUACCCGACCUUAGAGGUGGAUCGGCCACACUGGAACUGAGACACGGCCCAGACUCCUACGGGAGGCAGCAGUAGGGAAUAUUCUGCAAUGGACGAAAGUCUGACCGAGCAACGCCGCGUGAGUGAAGAAGGUCUUCGGAUUGUAAAGCACUGUUGUUAGAGAAGCGUUAUCUAAACAGAAAGCCACGGCUAACUACGUGCCAGCAGCCGCGGUAAUUC
rnacentral:rRNA from 1 species